AUUGAUGUGGUGCAGUGGUUUGAACAUUAGACUACAACUCUGGAGUCCAGGGUUCAGAUCUCGGCUUGGCUG